rnacentral:rRNA from 1 species
UACGUAGGGUCCGAGCGUUGUCCGGAAUCAUUGGGCGUAAAGCGCGUGUAGGCGGUUCGAUAAGUCUGCUGUGAAAGUCCAGGGCUCAACCCUGGGAUGCCGGUGGAUACUGUCGGGCUAGAGUACGGAAGAGGCGAGUGGAAUUCCCGGUGUAGCGGUGAAAUGCGCAGAUAUCGGGAGGAACACCAAUGGCGAAGGCAGCUCGCUGGGACGUGACUGACGCUGAGACGCGAAAGCGUGGGGAGCAAACAGG